rnacentral:rRNA from 1 species
AGUGAACGCUGGCGGUAGGCCUAACACAUGCAAGUCGAACGGCAGCACAGUAAGAGCUUGCUCUUACGGGUGGCGAGUGGCGGACGGGUGAGGAAUACAUCGGAAUCUACUUUUUCGUGGGGGAUAACGUAGGGAAACUUACGCUAAUACCGCAUACGACCUACGGGUGAAAGCAGGGGAUCUUCGGACCUUGCGCGAUUGAAUGAGCCGAUGUCGGAUUAGCUAGUUGGCGGGGUAAAGGCCCACCAAGGCGACGAUCCGUAGCUGGUCUGAGAGGAUGAUCCGCCACACUAGAACUGAGACACGGUCCAGACUCCUACGGGAGGCAGCAGUGGGGAAUAUUGGACAAUGGGCGCAAGCCUGAUCCAGCCAUACCGCGUGGGUGAAGAAGGCCUUCGGGUUGUAAAGCCCUUUUGUUGGGAAAGAAAAGCAGCAGGUUAAUACCCCGCUGUUCUGACGGUACCCAAAGAAUAAGCACCGGCUAACUUCGUG